UGUAUGGAGCGGAGUGUUGGCCAGUUAAGAACUCCCACAUCCAAAGAAUGAAGGUGGCAGAAAUGCGGAUGUUGCGCUGGAUGUGUGGGCUGACUAGAGGGGAUAGAGUUCGGAAUGAGACUAUCCGGGAGACGGUUGGUGUUACUUCAGUGGAGUGCAAGAUGCGGGAAGCCCGAUUGAGAUGGUUCGGACACGUGAAGAGGAGGGGCAUGGAUGCCCUGGUCCGUAGGUGUGAGAGGCUAGCGUUGGAUGGUUUUAGGCGGGGUAGGGGUAGGCCGAAGAAGUACUGGGGUGAGGUGAUUAGGCGGGACAUGGAACAGUUACAGCUCACCGAGGACAUGACCUUAGAUGGGAAGGUCUGGAGGACGCGAAUUACGGCAGAGGACUAGGGCCAGUUUGGGUCGCUAGUGGAGGUGUAGGGAACUACUGGGUGGGGGUUUUAUUCCUGUUAUGAUUCCGUGUCCCGUGUUCCAUGUUUCAUUACAAAUCUGUGUGCUUUCCUCUGCUCUUCUCUGUUUUAUAUUACUUAUGGGUGCCGUAUUUAUGUUAUGUAAUCUGCUUCUGUGCUUUACUAUGUGUUUGUGUGGUAUCUCGUGCCUUGAGCCGGGGGUCUAUCGGAAACAGCCUUUCUACUUCUUCAGAGGUAGAGGUAUGGACUGCGUACAUCUUACCCCCCAGACCCCACUAGGUGGGAAUACACUGGGUUUGUUGUUGUUGUUGUUGUUGAAUGUUAAGAGUAUUAUGUAUUGUUUCAAGUUUAAAUAGAAAAUUAUUUUUCAGAUUUGGCAUAUGAUAUUUGCCUACAUGAAAGUUAUUUCAAUUUUAUUGUUCUAUUUCGUCUUUGUGUGUUAUUACCAGGUGUUUCAUUGGAUGAGGCAGAAUCAAAAGAUCAAUGUUGCGUCAUACAGCAGCUAUGUAAAGUUCAUGGGGAAGAGCCUCAGUUGUGUUGAGGCUAUAGAAAUAUACAGUAGCAUCAAAGACAGGUCGAUAAAGUUUAAUGUCUCAGUCUGUAAUGCAUUUCUUAGUUCUCUAGUCAAAAAUGGAAAAUCUGAGAGCAGUCUCAAACUGUUUACUCAAAUGAAGCAAGGUGGUUUAGUACCAGAUGUUGUCACAUAUAGCACGGUAUGCUGCUUCCAAUUCUAAACCUUUCCUACUCCUAGCAGUUACUGUCAACUAGCCGUGUUUAAUAGGUUUGGGUUGUUGAAUCAUGGAAUUGGCAAUAAAAAACAUGGAACUGCUUAAUAUGUUGCUUAUUCCCUAAAGUAAACUUGUUGAUUACAGAAACUCCAGUAUAAUUAGUGUUUAGCCCCUUUUAAACUUUCGUCUACUAUGUUUUAGCUUCUUGCAGGCUGUGCCAAAGUAAAGGAUGGAUACUGUAAGGCACUAGAGCUGGUUCAGGAGCUGACGUCUAAUGGACUGCAAAUGGAUAGUGUGACUUAUGGAUCACUCCUUUCUGUCUGUGCUUCGCAUAAAGAGUUCAAUGAAGCUGCAAAGUACUUUCAGAAGAUGAAAGAUGAAGGUCAUUCUCCUAAUGUAUACCACUAUAGCUCUUUACUUAAUGCUUACUCUGCUGACGGAAAUUGCGAAAAGGCUGAGGCAUUGAUUGAAGAGAUGAGAUCUGCAGGUUUAGUAUUAAAUAAGGUUUGUCAUGAAGCGCUCUUACCUAUAAAGUAAAUAAAUUAUCAAUAUACACAUCUUUGUUUCAUGUGCGUUUACUGGUUUCAAGGUAGCAGAUUUGGGAGCAACAAUGGAGUAACUGUUUCCAGUAGGCCUUCCAAGAGCCUCUGGUUGUUGUCAUGGUCAAUACCUCUGCGGACAGGGUUCAGUUCAUUUCCUUUUUCCUGGUCACAGCGAAAAUAGGAUAGGAAAGAACUGCACGUUAGGACCAAAGAGAGGUCACAAUGCAUAUGGCUUGAACAUAAUUCCUUCCUCACAUGCAGUCCUAAUUUUUUCUCAUGGCCAAGCAUGUGGAAAUUCUUUUUGACGAAGGUUGACAGUGAGACUUGAACCAUGGAACUCUACUCUGUUUGAAAAGUUAAGCAAUUUUAGAGCACUCUAAGAGUAGUCGAGAUUUUUGGUAUUAUAGGGGUAUUAAGUUUGAGGAGGUUAUUCGUAAGAUGAGAGAAAUUUUGGAAGAGCGCAAGUUAGUGUUCAGGAAUAAGCUCGCAUCGUCGCAUAUUGCAAUGAUGCGAAGCGAUGCGAGCCCCUAUCGUAGCAUGUGGCUGAUGCAAACUAACCUUACAGAAGCGGACAUGUCACACGGUUAUGCGAGAUGCGAGAGCCUCAUGCUGAUUUUAUUUUUAGGGUCAAUUUUAUAUUUUAAAAAAAGAGUCGCUUCAUGUUGAUUUUAUAUUUAGGGUCAAUUUAAAUUUAAAAAUGGAGUCUACUGCUGUGACUAUCAUUGUUGCGAUUUUCUAGGGUUAACUUUGAAAUCAUUGAAGUCCACUUCUGCAACUUCUUCUUUUUCAUUGCUGCGACUACCGCUGCUUUUUUCUUCUUCUUUUUUUCGGGUUUGUUUUGCUAUUUUUUUGAAUUGUUUUGCGAUUGUGAUCUGUGUUGUUUUGCUGGCCGGUGUUUCCUUGAUCAAACUUGUGAUUUUGGUGUUUAAUUUGACCUUCUGCUUAUAUAUAUUAUUAUUGUUGAUUAUAUAGUUGUUGUUGUCUUUUCAGUUCUAUCUUACUGGUUGGAUGCUAUAUUUAGUCUUUUUUCUUUUAAGUUGCGCUUCACUUCAAUGUUGCGCUCUCAUCGCUUCAUGCUUCACGUAAUGCGUGAUGCAGAGCCUUAUCACUUUUUUCCGUAUCAUGCUUCCUUUAACACUGGUGCAAGUAAAGUGGGCAUGGAAUUGCUAAUUGAAUUGUUUAACAUCAUUUUUAGAAUGUCAAAAUGCCCAAAGAAUGGAGGUGGUACACAAUGAUCCUGUUGUGCACCAACAAGGGUGAUAUUCAGGAUUACAACUGUAGGGGUAUCAAGCUUCUAAGCGACACUAUGUAAGUUUGGGAGAGGGUGGUGGAGGUGUGGGUGCGGAGGUGUGUGUCUAUUACUGAGAACCAAUUUGGUUUCAUGUCGGGUCCUUCAACUACAAAAGCCAUUCUUCUCGUGAGGAGAUUGAUGGAGCAGUAUAGAGAGAGUAUAGAGAGAGGUGAAGAUAGACUUACAUAUAGUGUUCAUCGACGUAGAAAAAGCAUACGAUGCAGAUGUUUGGAAGCUAAAGUGUACCUGUAGCUUACAUUAAGGGCACUAAGGACAUGUAUGAUGGAUCUAAGACUCGAUUGAAGAUAGUGAGAGGAGACUCAGAGCACUUCCACUUCCCUGUUGUGAGGGGUUGCACUAGGGUUUUGAUCUUAGCCCCUUUUUAUUUGCCAUGGUGAUGGAUAACGCGACAUAUCUAUGGGAAGGUGCUAUGAUGUAUGUUGUUUGCGGAUGACAUAGUGUUGAUUGGUGAGACAUGCGAUAGAGUUAAUGGUAGGCUAGAGAUUUGAAGACAAAUUUGGAGUUUAAAGGGUUUAGGUUUAGCAUGUGAAAAAUAGUUCCAAAAUUCAUUUGCAACUAGAAUUUAAAUUUAUUUAGGAAACUUUUAAAACUAGGAAACCUUAAACUAGAAAAGCAUGUGAAAAUAAUACAAAAAUUCUUCUCUAAACUACCUAAUAAAAUUAAGGAAAGAAGUUGCUAUAUUUGCACCAAAAAGUCAGCGCUUUCUUUUUUGGGGGUUUUAAAUCUGCCCAAUUUGCUUCCAUUUGGGUAUAACUUUUUGCAGAAUUUUCAAUCCUUCCGUGGCUCCUUUUGGACUCCAUGUGGGCUCAAUCUUUCUUCAGUUGGACUAUGAAAUAUGAAGCAGAUAGCACAUUCUUCAUCCUAAUUCUUGGACUUUUUGUUCCACGAUAUAUAUCUUCUUAAUUACCCAUUGAAGCCAGUCAAUCUUCACUUCCAUUAUUUCUUUUCCCUGAAUGCUAUGGUAUGCUUUUCCUUGAGCCGAGGGUCUAUUGGAACAGCCUCCCUACCUCCAAGGUAGGGCAAGGUCUGUGUACAAAUUAGCCUCCCUAGACCCCAUUUGUGGGAUUACGUUGGGUAUGCUGUUCUUGUAUCUUCAAAUGUUCUAUCUUGCUACUUGGAAAUGCUUUGCGAAUGACACUUGCACUUGCGGAUAUUGACUAUUUCUAUGUGGUUGUGAUACUGCAAUCUGAAGUAUGCCUGGAGUCAAACUGUUGAUGGGAACUUAAUUCAUCUUUUAUUUCUGUGGUAGUGACAUGCAAUUUGAAGUAUGCCUGGAGCCAAACUGUUUAUGGGAACUUAAUUCAUCUUUCCAUUUUAAAUUCGAAGUCGUCACUACCGGCUUUCGAAAUUCUUGUUAAAAACUCAUUGCUGCUCAUUGGUAUGUUGCAGGUAAUCUAUACAACUUUGUUGAAGGUAUAUGUGAAAAGAGGCUUGUUUGAGAAGUCAAAGGAACUACUAAAGGAGUUAGAAGCUCUUGGGUAUGCUAAGGAUGAGGUACACUUGUUUCAUUAGGAUUUCAUGUGUUCAAAAACUUCCCAAACAUUUCAUUUUGCAUUCUAAUUGAUAAUACAUUUUUUGAUAAAUUCAUUGUCAUAAAGUGAUAAACUCGUUUGGAAGAAGUACACACUUUGAGGCUCUAUGUUACACGGUGUCUUGGUUAUUGUUCAAAUCUAGCAUACAUUAUCCAUGGUGCAUGUCUCCAGUAUAUUCUCCAUAUGGAGUUGUAGUCUGGAAACAUAUCAACAGUUCAUGAAUGAUUUUCAAGAGAAAAUAAGGUUAAAGGUUGGUGAUGGCAGAAAAUUAAAUUUUGGAGGACAAAAGGUGUCGGCAAAAUUCUAUGACAGAAACCUUACCUGAUUUAUUUAACAUGGUGAUUAAUUAAUAAAAAGUGUACUGGAUUGGCAGCAGGGAUGGUGCAUUCUCACCAAAAUUUUAUUAUUACUUGUGAGGGCUGCUCCUAGAAAUGGUUUUGAAUGAUCACGGUAAUGAUUUAGAAUUAGGAAAACAAAAAUCUCUAAGCUAGGUAGCAUACAUUGGCUGGAUCUACAUAUGCGUAAAGCUUGUUUGCCACAGGCAAACUUACAAAAGCGGAUCUUCAAAUUAUGUAUUUGGUGCUAUCUAUGCUAAGGAAGUUUUGAUACUGCAAAUCACUUAUUAUUACACUGCAAGUAUGCUUGGCAGAUUUGGUGCAUUUUCCUGAACCUAUGUGGUAUUCAGUGGGUAGUUCCCGGCCACUUAAUUCAAGCAUUGCAGCUAGCAGGGACAGAAGAUAAGGAAGAAAUAGUUAUUGAUAUAGAAACCAUUCCUUUAUGCAAGCUGUGGACUGUUUGGUUAGCGAGAAACUGUAGAUGUUUUGAGAGGAAGGAGCAAAAUGUUGCUUUUAUGAAAUGUAGAUUUUUUCAAUAUCUGAAACUAUUGUGGAAGGUUUCAUUUGUUAAUGAUGUAGUAGUUAAUUUCUUCAUUUCCUGUUAGUUAUAAAGGACAUAAAUCCAGCAAACUUUUGUACAACCUUGUGACCAUCGUGGUACUGAAGUUUUAUCAAUAAAAUUCUUUCUUAAUUAUCUUAACAAGUAUUACUUGAUAGUUCCCACUAAGAUCCCAAGGCUUUGGCUAAAUGGAGAGGUUGUACAAUGAGAUUUGUUGAUGGCACACAUCACAAGUUCAAAUCCUGAUGGGUGAACUAAAUCUGGUAUUGAAGUGGAUAAGAAUUGGGGGUUGGGGGAGGAGGGUUGAACUAAAUUGGAGGUCAAUAACAUGGCUGUACUCUGUAGCAAGUAUUAUUUUAGAAUAUAACAUCUCCAUUACUGAGUCUUUUCUUUAGAAAUUGAAGUUGCUUAUUAAAAUUGGCUUGUGUUACCUUUGAUUAUUAUUUAAAAAAGUAACUACUGCUCCCCCUUUUCAAUUUUGUGUCUUUGUUACACCUCUCUUCAUUUCAAUUUAUGUGCCUUAUUUACAACUCCCUUUGUUUCGAUUUUUUGUCUUAGUUUGGCUGGGACGGAGUUUAAGAAAGUGAAGAAGACUUGAAUCUUGUGGUCUUAAAUUAAAGAUAUGUAUAAUAUUUCAAAGUGCCCUUUAAUUUUGUGGUCUUACACAUGCCACGUGAGAUGUUGAAAUUAAAAAGUUGCCAAAUUAGAAAAAAGACAUUCUUCUUGAAACAGACUAAAAAGGAAAGUUAGUCGAACAAAUAAAACAAAGGGAGUAGUAAUUUGAAGAGUUAAAAGACAUUUUCUUUCUCCAUGAAUUAACAACUUAGUAUCAAAUGAAUUCCACAGAGGACUACACAAUUCUACAUCUAUUUUAACCUAAGUCGGUCUUUCAAUUGAUGCAAUGUCACUAGAAUUUUUGAUCAAGUUAUCAUUAUAUCCUUGAUUUAUAAACCAUAAUUCUACGGAAACAGCCCACGAAGUAUAAUUGCCACUACCAUCUACUUUUGUUGUAGUAAUUAUAGGUGAUAGUAGGGAGGAGAAAGUUGGUCUUAAAACAACCGCUCUUGAUUUAUCAUAAAAAAGAUACUGAAACCAAAACAAAAAAAAGCGUGCAGAAAACUAUGAUUUGUUUUUUGUUUCUUCAAUUUGGUUUUGUAGAAUCUAUGUUUGGAGAAAAAGGAGAAUUAGAGUAAGAAGGGCUCUGAUACCAUGAGAAACUAGAAAGAGAAGAGAAUUUGGGAAUUAAUGUCUUGAUUAUUCCCUCAAGCUAAUGAGAUUAAAUAACUGUUACAAAUAAUGUAAGUAAGGAAGGAAACUAAUAAGAAUAUUGCACAAUCUCCCAAUUGCCUCAUAACAAGGAUUUGGGAAUAUUCUCAUAUCUACACUAUCUAAUUAUAUCAUAUUUAACAAUGUUGAAGAAUGCCAAAAAGUCACACGUCGGUGGUUAAUGAAAUGGGUGGUCUUAUUAUAAGGCUUGGCAAUCCUCCUCUCUUUGAGCUAGCUUUUGGGGUGUGACUUAGGCCCAAUACCUAAUUUUGUAUUGUAUCAAAGCAGGACCCAUCUUACCUAAUGUUGGGCACCUAAAUUAAAUUGUCCAUUCUUCAAAUGUCCAGUCCUAGGUGUGAGGUGGGGUAUUGAAGAAUGAAAAAAGUCCUACAUCGGUGGUUAAUAAGAUGGGUGACCUCAUAAGGCUUGGACAAUCCACCUCCCUUUAGGCUAUAGCUUUUGGGUGUGAGUUAAGCCCAAAAUCUAAUUUUACAAACAAUAGUAAACAAUAAAAAGAUUCAAACUUGCUCUCAGAAAUUCGUACACUCCUUUCCUUCCAAAUAGUCUCUCAUUAUUUAAGCAUAUUUUUAUAACUCUAUUCUUUGAUAUUUGAAUUAUUUUUAGUUGAAUCCUGAUAACCAUAUUUGUACCUAGAUCCAUACUCCAAGUCUUAGAAUUUAGAUCAUGAAGGAUCCAACCUCUAGAUCUGCACCGGUAUUGAACAACCAUACCCGAGCUCAAGCAACUUAGAUCUUGUUAAGAGUUACACAUCAGAAAAGGAAUGAAUAAUUGAUCUCCUUAUAUGGACUUGGACAAUACUCCCCUCAUGAGCUAGCUUUUGGGGGUGUGAGUUAGGCCACGACCUAAUUUUACAUGAUACCAGAGUAGGACCCAUCUCACCCAAUGUUGGACCCUCAAAUUAAAUAGCCCACCCACCAGAUGUCUAGUCCUAGUCCUGGGCAUGAGGUGGGGUGUUCCUAUAUUGGUGGUUAACGAGAUGAAUGAUUUCUUUAUAAGGCUUGGGCAAUGCUCCUCUCUUUGAGCUAAGCUUUGGGGGCAGGGGUGGGGGGGGUGGGGUUGAGUUAGGUACAAGACCUAAUUUUACAGAUUGUUUGCUCUUUACGUUAAUUCAUGUUGUUCUUUUGAGUGUUCUGUGGAUAAUGAAAUGCUACUUACAGAUGCCAUUUUGUCUCCUAAUGGAUGGCCUGGCAAAGUCUGGACAUCUUCUUGAAGCAAAAUCAGUAUUUGAUGAGAUGAUGAAAAAGCAGGUGAAAACCGGUAUGUAUCUUUCAUACUCUGGCUAUUGUUCAUUUUUUUAUUUCUAAUAAAGAAUAUUGGACUUCACUGUGAGAGGUAGUAGAGAAAUCAAUGAAAUAUGUUCUUGAGCUCAUCAAUGUUUCUCAGUUCAUAUCGGAAUAUACUUGGUGCCUUUUGCUUCCUGUGUAUGUUCAACCACGAUUACCUUUAGCUGGUUUGAACAUAUUGUUUGCAAACUCCUGUAUAUGUUGAAGCUGGUCAAAUUACUUUUCAAUAUUUUAUGUGCUGCGUCUGUACAAAUUCUUUGUGCUCUCCAACAAAGGGCAUUGACUAUUGCUGCUACUUCUUAAUUUGCUUUCACUAUCAAUUUUGUAUUUCCAAGGGGUGGUUGUAACCUUAGAUUACCAACUCGAUGUGGUCUUCCUUUCCUUGUGAACUAGCAUUGCAUCACUUUAUUAUAUUUAAGGGGUUUCUGUGAGUAGUUGCAAGUCCCUUAACGUAUUCACUGUUUGUGAUUUACAGAUUAUUCUAUUUAUUCCAAUGAUUUGCACCCAGUCUCCUCAGCUCCUUGCAAAACUUUAAAAGAUCCAUUUUCUCAAUUAUUUAUGAGGUAAAAAUAGGAAAGUAUGAUGAAAUAAUAUAAAAACCUUAAAAGAUCCAUUUUCUCAAUUAUUUAUGAGGUAAAAAUAGGAAAGUAUGAUGAAAUAAUAUAAAAACCUUAAAAGAUCCAUUUUCUCAAUUAUUUAUGAGGUAAAAAUAGGAAAGUAUGAUGAAAUAUAUAAAAAAUUACUACAAUUAAAAAAAAACAGUCACACUAAAUAACAGAUAAAAAAACCAUUGAAUAGCAAUGUUAGAAUAUGAGUAGGAAUAGGAAUAACAUAUAAAAUUCUACUUGGAAAAGGAAUGUAAUGCAUUGUUUAUAAUAGGGUCUAAAUGUAGUUAUGUAGAUACACAAUUCAAUAAUAUUUUUCUCCAUUAUUUUUCACAUGGUAUCAGAGCAUUGGUGAGAAACUUCAAAAAAAGAAAACUCAGUCACCGUACGUUAAUUUUGGUGAUUGAUUUAUGUCAUUAUCUGUUUUGUGAGUGGUGUACAAAAUCCACCACCACCAUGAAGAUCGAAAAGCGCAGGCGACAAAAACCCAACCAAAACCAUCGGAAAACUCUAAGUCACGCGCUCCCACGUGCCGGAGCAUGAGAUAUUCUUCGAUCGACUUUUUGAGUUGCUCCUUUUUUGUUGGGGUCGGCCAGCUAUUCCGAGCUCCAGCCAGUUCCUUCUUUUUAGAUUCUAACAAGUUUUUUCAGAUUCCGAUGAACUCUAAUUUCGGGGACUUCAUAUUUUUUUCGACGAGUUCUUAGCAAUAUCAUACAUUCAGAUUCUGUUUCUUGGUGUUUUCAAGUCAAAAUUCACAAGAUGUCUUUUGGGUAUAAUAUUUUUGGCUCUAAAAAUACCGGAAUUGGAAGUUCAAGUCCUAUGAUCACUUCCGAACCAUUAAUGGGAAGUUCAAAUCAUUUAGCUUGGACUUCCUCGGUUGAGUUGUCGUGCAAAGGUCAAGGUGCCCAAGAUCACUUAAAGAUCAAUGCUAGUGCGGUAGAUGAAAAGGCAAAAUCUAGUGAGGAAGAUAUGAAAGCCAAAGAAUAAUGGUAGAAGGUUGAUGCUCAAUUAUGUAGUCUCUUGUGGAGAUCUAUUGAUUCCAUAGAUGCCUUUGUUUCGCCCAUUCCGGAUAUGUUAUUUAGUUUGGGAAAAGGCUCGUGGUUUAUACACUAAUGACGUAUCUCAUUUUUAUGAUGUGAUAUCUUGAAUGACCAACUUGAAGAAACAAGAAUUCGAUAUGUCUACUUGACAGGUACAAGCAGUCAUGGAGGAAUUUGUAACAUUGAUGCCUGUCACUGCGGAUGUGGAAAAACAACAAGAGCAUCGACAGUUGUUUUUAGUUCUUACACUUGGACUUUUUAUAGACCAUGAUUCAAUACAUCAUCAGAUUUUAGCUAGUUCUAGGUUCCUAUAAUUGAUGAGUUAUUCUCUCGUCUACUUCAUCUUGCUGUGCCUCCCAAUCACAAAGUAAUUCUAUCACCCAUCGUUGACUCCUUUAUUCUCGAAUCUUAAACCAUAGAAAAAACGAAUAUAUCAGCGUAUGGAGAAUCGACGAGGAGGAGGUCGUUCUAGAAAAUCUCGAUCUAAGUGUAGUUAUUGUCAUAAAUUAGACACACUCAGAACAUAUGUCAUAUUUUGCAUGGUCCACCACCCAGUUAUGAUCCUAUUGCUGUAAAGAAAUAUAAUGAGUUCCUUUGGAACCGAGCAAGUAAGCAAACAUCUCCACAACUUAAUCGACUAUCCAAUAAUGAUCAUAUUGCUUAGACGGAAUAUGAUAAGUCCCUUUAGUAUCGAACAAGUAAGCAAACAUCUCCACAAGUAGCCUCAGUUGCUCGGCCUGAUGCUUCUGUUGCUGGUUUUUCUUUUGCUUGUGUUUCACAGUCUAGUACUCUUGGAUCAUGGGUCGUGGACUCAGGUGCUCCUGAUCAUAUUUCUUGUAACAAAUCACUUCUGUCUAAUAUUGUUUAUUCACAAACUCUUCCUGCUAUACUUUAGCCAAUGGAUCCGAACAAAAUCAAAAGGAGUUGGACUAGCCAAACCCUUAUCUUUUGUCACUCUAGCUUUGUUUUUUAUGUCCCUUGUUGUCCUUUUAAUCUUGCAGUUGUUAGUCGUUUGAGACGUGCCCUUCAUUGUAGUAUAACUUUUUUUGAUGAUUCUUUUCUAAAGUAGGACCGCAGUAUGGGACAGGCGAUUGGCACAUGACAUUAAUCACAAGGCCUUUACCAUCUUACAUUUUUAAAUUCCUUCACAACAUGCUCCGUAACAUUACGGACCCUCCAUACCUAAUUCACAAACAUUUGGGACAUUCGAAUCUAUCCAAGCUACAUAAGAUGAUGCCUGGUUUGUCUAGUUUAGCCACAUUAGAUUGUGAGUCGUGUCAACUUGGGCAACACUCUCGUGCUGCAUUUUCACGUAGUAUUGAUAGUCAAGUUUGUUAGAAUAUGAGUAAGAAUAGGAAUAGCAUAUAAAAUCCUACUUGGAAAGGGAUUGUUAUGUAGUGUCUUAUUAGGAAAGGAUUGAAAUGUAGUGUCUAUAAAUAGAGCCUCAAUGUAAUAAUGUGGUUACAACAAUUAAAUAAUAUUUUUCUCCUAUAUUUCUAACAUGGUAUCAGAGCCUCGACAAUCUUGGUAGAGAAUCAAAGAGCUUCCGCUGCCGGCGGGCGGCUAUAACACAUAUAUGUUGUCCGUCCAGCCAAUGAUCAUGUUAGCCAAGUUAGGCCACCGCACUUCUUUCCCCUACUUUCUCAUAUCUAAUUUUUGUAGCAUCAUGCAUCUUUCUGGUGACUAUUUUUUCAUAUCAGAUUUGCGUAGCACCGUUGAUACAAGUGUCAAGCCAAGACCUUUCACCCGAAGUCAAGCUAAGGAACUUCAACAAUUUCAAUCAUUGUUUAUGCACUUGAAGGCGUGUGAGAGUGUGAUGCAUCCGGACCAAGGGAGGGUACUUGAUGGUUUGUGAAGAAGAGCUUUGAAAGAACUACUUUCUUACAUCUCAUGGGCGCCUAAAAGGAGGGGGUAUUGUGGACUUUUUUGCACUCUUAAGUUACACUCAAGAGGCGCCUCUUUUGAGACUUCAUUAAGGGCUUUAGAGUUUUAUUAUGUAAUAGUAUAAAUAGACAUUUUAGCCUCUAUUUUCAUGAGACUUUUGAUGAUAUUGAACAUUACUCUUAACUUGUAGUUUUUAGUCUCUAGUUGGUAGCUUGAAUCCGAAAUUUGGACCUUAAUACAUUUGGAGUUGGUUUUUCACUUGUAUUGGGUUAUUUGUCAAGAAAGGUGUGCUUGAGGAAGUGUAAGUCCUUUGGGUCUCCUAAGAGAGUGGUUUGAGCUUCCAUUAGUGAGGUGUGAUUGAAGAUUUGAUACAUCUUCUUUUGUUAAUCACAUAGUGGAAGUAUGGGUUUCUCUAUUAUCUUUAUGUUUAUGCAAUUCUUCUUCUUCAUCUCCUUCUAGUGUGUUGAUUUUCCCUUUGUUUACUUGCUGAUUUUUGCAUUCUAGUGUCAAUUUCGUGUGUUUGGUAAUCUAUAGGCUAUCAUUUGGUAUCAAAGCCUUGUUUAGGGUUGUUCCAACAUCCCUAAAUCUUGGUUUUAGUGUUCUUAUUAAGAAAACUCAACAAAAAAGAAUCAAAUAUCUGAAAAUCUCAAAAAAAUUGUGUGUUAUCUUGUUGUUUUUAGUAGAUCCGUGAGUUACAAGUUAGAUCUACUAAAUUUUAUUGUGUUUUGGAAGUUUCUUGUGUUAGAUUCUUGUUCUCUAACACCUAGGGAGUCUAGAUCUACACUUGGAACAAGAUUUGGUUGAGUUUGAGCUAAGAACCUCCAUGGAUAUGGUGUUUUUUGAAGCUUUUAAGCUAGAUCCGAAAUUGGGCUUGUGAUUUGGACGAGUUUUGUAGGUGAUUUUUACAUAUUUGAGUUCACCUUGGCCUAAGGAACCUAAAUCUACAAAAAAAUCCAGAUUUGGAGUUCAUUUGGUUAGGAGUCAAACUUUGGUUAACUCUUAAAUAUUCAUCUUGUUCUUCCAUGUUCAUCAAGUCUUGCUAAGGAAGAAUACUCAAAGAGUUUGUUUGAUCCAAAAAGGGAGAAGAAAGAGAGUGUACUUGGUGUUUGUGAAGGAAUAUUCCUUGGCAUAUUCAUUGUCAUCCAAAAGAAAGAAGACACAAAGGGAAUAAUCAAGUACAAUUGAAAGUACAAGGGGGAACCAAUCCAUUUUGAAUUCAUUUGAAGCUUCAAAAGGGCUCCAAACCUUCAAUUUUUCCCUCCCAAACGAAAAUUCUUCUUCUCCAAGGGUGUUCUAGGCCGAGACUUGAAAAUUUUGGGUGAAAAUUUUUGAAAACUCAACGUCCAAUCAUUGAAUGCCACGUCAUCAUAGCUCAAUGGCCAAAUUAAGUUCUUAGUUAGAUUUUCUAGUUUCUAAUUGUUGUUUCUAGUUUCAAUUUUGUUGGUUCUAUCACUAAUUAGCAAGCUAGUAACUACCUACUAGUUUGGUAAUUAGAUUAGAGUUCAUUUAUUUCGUGUCUUCAUUUUUUUUUGCGUGCUUCUCUUUUUAAAGUCGUAUUUUGUUGGUUCAAGUUCGUGCAUCACUUUAUUUGAGUCGUUUCAAACAAAGAUCGAUUCCGGACCAAAGCUUCUCACCUCUCAAGUAACUUGCCAAGUAUUGCCAAUGAUUCAACACUUGUGAAGCCAAGUGUGAGGUGAGGUUGAGUGAGAGUGUGGUGAGGCCUUCUUGAACUAACUUGUUUGUUUGUUUUGUAGGUUUUCUCUUUGCUGUUUUUUGCUUCUUAUUAGGUACUUUUGACCAUGGAAUCCGAGGGUUCUUCAUCCCAAUCUUUGGGAAAUGAUGCUAUUGGAACCUUGAUGGCUCGGCUUGAGGCCAUUGCUCGAAAAAUGGAUGAUAAUCAAGAUGCUAUAAAGGGUGAUAUGGAUUCAUGGAGGAGUGAAAUGGCAUCCUUGACGGGUGGUGUGAUUAGAAUGAAAGCGAGGGUUGAUAGAUUUUAUCCACCAAAGCCUCCACAAAAUUCAAACCACCAAGUCCCAAAUCCACUUGACCAAAGACCCUACACUCCACGAAACCCCAUGCCACAAAUCCAAACCCAUCAUCAACCUAAUCUGGUUCCCCUUCUCCAUACUUUCCUAAACCGAACUCAAUCCAUCCAAGUAGGAGAAAUGGGAGAGUUAGCACCCAAGGAGAGUGAGGCUAAGCCUCAAGAUGGAGAGAAAAUGAAUGGUGAGGUACAAGGAGGAUGUGAAAAAAAAGUGAAAAGGAAAGGGAAACCAUGGGUAGUGAAGUUGGAAGGGGAAAGAAAUGCUUGAUUGGAUCUUGUCCACAAAGAAUCCUUAUUACUCACUAACUCAAAUACUAGCAUUUUGCCUACGCUCAGUGAUCCUGGAAGGUAUAGGCGGGUAGUUGGAAAGUUGAAUUAUUUACUGUGACUAGACCUGACAUAUCUUUUCCUGUGACUGUUGUAAGUCAGUUUAUCCUGUGAUAGUCAUCCCGAUGCAGUUGUUCGUAUUCUGCGAUAUAUAAAGUCAGCUCUAAGUAAAAGACUACUCUUCAAGGAUCGAGGCCAUGAGCAUAUCAUUGGAUAUACAUAUUCUAAUUAGGCAGGAUCACCCUCUGAUAGACGUUCUACAUCAAGAUAUUGUGUUUUAGUAGGAGGUAAUUUGGUGUCCUGAAAGAGCAAGAAAAAGUGUGAUUGCUCGAUCUAGAGCGGAAGCAGAAUAUCGAGCAAUGUUUGUAGCAACUUGUGAGCUAGUUUGGAUCAAACAGUUGAUGAGAGAACUAAAAUUUGGAGAAACCGACAAGAUGAAACUUGUGUGUGAUAAUCUAGCAGCCCUUCGUAUCCCAACAAAUACAGUAUUUCAUGAGAGGACUAAGCACAUAGAGAUUGAUUGUCACUUUUUCAGAGAAAAGAUACUCUCAGGAGAUAUUGUUACAAAAUUUGUGAAGUCAGGUGAUCAACUUGUAGUUAUCUUCACCAAGUCACUCACCCGUUCUCGUAUUAACUACAUUUGUAACAAGCUAGGUACAUAUGACUUGUAUACACCAGUUUGAGGGGGAGUGUUAGAAUAUGAGUAGAAAUAGGAAUAGUAAAAAAAAUCCUACUUGGAAAAGGAUUGUAUUAUAGUGUCUAUAUAUAGGGUCUCAAUGUAAUUAUGUGGAUGCACAAUUCUAUAAUAUUGUUCUCCAUUAUUUUUCACAAGCAGAUCGUUGCUCAUUCUUCUCUAGUCAAAGACAGAAUCAUAUGACUCCAUUUAUAGCUUUACUCCACUCCAAGUAACAUUUGUGCAGUUUCUUCUCGUCCCCUCAAGAUUCUUUAGAAUUUUUAAAUAAAGGGCAGCCCGAUGCACUAAAGCUACCGCUAUGCGCGGUGUCCGGGGAAGGGCCCCACCACUAGGGUGUAUCGUACGCAACCUUACCUUGCAUUUCUGCCAGAGGCUGUUUCCAAGACUUGAACCCGUGACCUCCUGGUCACAUGGCAGCAACUUUACCAGUUACUCCAAGGCUCCCCUUCUUUAGAACUUUUAGAGAGAUGAAAAGAUGGAAUUAGAUAAACGAAACAGUGCAACAAUUGAGUUUUAGUUUACCAUCGUACGAGUUACGUUUUAUGCUUUGAUUUAGCUCUUCCAAAUCUAAUUUUCAUAAAAAGUAAUAAAAAAUUAAUUGUACUCUGUAGCUUAUCCAAAGUUCCAUGUUCAUUGUGCUGUUGAGUUAUCCCACCGGAACUCCUUCUCUCUCUGCCUAUCUUAUGAUGUGUUGUUUGAGAAAGUACUUAAGGCCAUGUCUUCCUUGAAAAUAACUAGGAAUACUUCAAGAAGACAUGUCUUCGAAUUAACUAGGGAUACUUCAAGAUUUUCUGGGUUCCCACUGUUUUUAAUUGGUGGUUGGGGUUGAAUCUUUUUUCCUUGUGGUAUAUACGUACAAGUUGAUGGUUUUAAUAGAAUUAAUAAAUCUGUGAAUAAUGGGGAGGGAGAAUUCAACAAUAUUAGUUGUGUAUUUUCCUAUUUUACCUUCAUAAAUAAUUGAGAAAAUGGACCUUUUAAGGUUUAGCAAGGAUUUAAACUUUAAAGAGAUCUAGUGCAAAUUAUUAAAAUAAAUAGGAUAAGGUGUAAAUCACAAUCCCUAGACCCCACUUUGUGGGAAUAUGCUGGGUUUGUUUGUUGUUGUUUUAAGGUGCAAAUCACAAAUUAGUGCAUAUGUUAAGGGUGCAAACUGCAAAUACUUGAUUUCUGUGUAUGACUUAGAGUUUUAUGCUCUGUGUUAUUUUACUUGAAAUUCAUAUUAAUUUGAUUUGUUCUUUUGGUUAUAAAUUAGCAGAUGGCUACUCCUAUAGCAUUAUGAUUUCUGCAUUCUGCCGCAGUGGGCUUCUCGAAGAUGCAAAGGAAUUAGCUUCUGAAUUUGAAGAGAAAUAUGACACAUAUGAUGUAGUUAUUUUGAAUGCGAUGCUCUCUGCCUACUGCAGAGCAGGAGAAUUGGAGAAUGUAAUGAGCAUGAUGAAGAAGAUGGAUGACUAUGCAAUUAGUCCUGAUUGGAAUACAUUUAAUAUUCUUGUAAGAUAUUUCUGCAAGGAGAAACUAUAUUUGCUUGCCUAUCGUACCAUGGAGGACAUGCAUAGAAAAGGUCAUCAGCUAGAGGAGGUAGGCACAAGUUAAAAAAUUCUCACUGUUUUUUUCUUUCAUCAAUAAAAGAAAUUAAAGUGGCAUGUGUAGCAGGGUUAACCGUUAUUGGUCUUCUGUGUGCGGUUUAACAUUCUAGAGAUCCCAGACCAGCUUUUUCACCAGAUAAAGAUAACCUCCCAAACUACUUUUUGUUACUUGGGUUUGUGGCCCAGUAUUUGAGAAACCAAUAUGCUCAACUCAGAUGCUCGCUUGUGUUUGUUUGCUACGAGUCAAAAGUAAGCACUUGUGGAGGCUGGCUCAAUGAGACAUCUGGGUCAUAGAAAUGAACUGAGUUGCGGUGGAUCGACUAGGUAAUCAUCAAGCCGAGGAAAUUGUUGUGGUAUAGUAAUUUAUACUGGCUUGAAUUGGAACAAAUUUAAUUAUGCACUCUGCGAGAGUACAUGGCAUCAAAAGUUCUUUCUGCUUUUAUGGUUAAUGUGAGUCAUAAAAUGAACAUAUAUGGGGUUGCUCAGUGAGACAUCUAAUCAUAAAUUGAACUAAACUUGCAGUGCGUCCGGGUUACAUCAACCAUCAAGCAGACGAAAAUAGUUGUGUCGGAAUAGCUUAUAGUGGCUUUAAUUGGAGUAGAUUUGGUUAUGCACUCCACAAUGAAUACAUGUAAUCAGAAUCUUCUUUUUUUUUUCUUUUCAAUAGCAACAGUCUCAAGUCUUCUAUUUUGGUGACCCAGAAUUGCGGACGUUCAGCUUUUUUGAUAAUUUAUUAGGUGUCCCCCUUUAUUAGUUGUGCAUUCUAUAUUUAUUUUAUUGAGAAGGAUGAUGUAAAUGUUGUUCCUAGUUGUCACACUCACUUUGUCCAACUUGUUCGGUUUUCCAGGGACUUUGUUCCUCUUUGAUUUAUCAUCUUGGUCAGACCCGUGCACAUUCAGAAGCAUUUUCUGUAUACAACAUGUUGAGAUAUAGCAAAAGAACCAUAUCCAAAGCCCUUCAUGAGAAUAUUCUGCACAUUUUGAUUGCUGGGGGCCUCCUCAAAGAUGCUUAUGUUGUAGUCAAGGUACUCCUCCAUACCUUCUUUUUCUUGUUUUGCUUUUUCUUAUGAACAAUCCUAAUUUAAUCACUAGGUAUACAGGACAAUGCAGGAUUCAUCUCCCAGCCGGCUAUCAAAAAAUUUUCUGUCAACUUCAUGAGAUCUGGCAAUGUAAACAUAAUCAAUGAUGUGAUCAAGACCAUGCACAGCUCUGGACACAAGAUUGAUCAGGUAACAAUUAGUUUCAAUUCUCCUCGUAUGAUUAUUGUACUAGAUACGCUUCGUCAUCCUUUAAUAUGUCGUGGAACAUGGACUUAAUUAAUGAUGUGAUGAGAAGGUCAUCCAACUUUUCUGGAGACAACCGACAAGAUUAACUCUAAAAUCUGCUUUAGACUGAGUGUGCCCAUUGAUAGUAGACAUUGUACCAGUAGUAUCCAGGAGGGACUAAUUGCUAGUUAGAUUCUGUCGAGGAUUUUGGAUGAAUCAAUUCUAAAUUGAAUUUGAAUUGCACUGGGUUACACCUGUUGUCAGACAUCAAUGUGACUUUUACAUUAAUUUGCUUGUGUUUUUUGGCUGUUGAAUUCGAGGAAAACAUAACUUCAAAAUUGUCAAAGACACACUAAAUCACCUAUCUCUGUCUCUUCAAACACUCUUCUUCUCAGGAAUUAUUUGAUAUGGCUAUGUCACGCUAUAUUGCCAAACCAGAAAAGAAGGAAUUACUUGUCCAGUUACUGAAGUGGAUGCCUGGUCAAGGUUAUGCUAUCGAUUCGUCGACUAGAAAUUUGAUUCUGAAGAACUCUCAUUUAUUUGGCCAUCAACUUAUUGCUGAGACAUUGUCCAAGCAGCUUGUGAUGUCAAAAAAGGUGAAACCUCACAAGGAAAAUGCAAGAUAAGGGAAGCUGGAUGCCUAAGUUGGACAUCAGUUUGCUUUCAGACAACUUCGAUAUGCUGCAGGUCUUAAGCUGAUAAUUUAUGCUGAGCUUUAUUGAGUCGAGGGGUUCAGAUGACAAAAGUCUAAACAGAGUUGUUCAGUUUACAAACUCGGACAAGGACAAAUACAAGGAUCCACGAGACCAUUUCGCCAUAAUUUAAUUACUAGAGAACUUAUUCCAAGCGAGGCAAAGUUCUUAUUACUUCUUACGCUGAACAAAAUUAAGUCAUAUAUAAGGAUACUUUAGCUCAUAAAUUUUCAUUAAACGAACAAGAAGGACAAUUUAGUGGAUUCUGCCAAUUGUUCACCUGAUUGGUAUAUUAAUACCAUUUUCUCUUAUGUAAAUGAUUUCCAUCCAGUGAAAUACUAAUAAGGAAAUAAUGUCCACGUAAAUAAAAUAGAUGAAGUACUUGUAUGUUCUCUUAAACUACUUUCUUGUACCUUCCAAAUCUUGUUGCGAAAAUAUUAUAAUUAUAGAUUUAGAUAAAUGGGGUACAAUUAUAAAAUGCAUUCGUAGAUAUCAAUAGUACCAACUUCUCAACUAACAUGUUUCAAUAACCCAUGUAUUUUAUUGGAAAGAAAAAUCAUUAUCCAAAUAUGUAUAACAAGUCUUUAAGAUAAAUACUAUACCACACCCCCCACCCACCCAAUCAAACUUUACUUAAUUUUAUCAAUAUAAUUUCCAAUGUCAACCAUUAUACAAUGCCUUGAUAACCAAGCAAAAGACAUUAUUUUAUAUGACUCUUUUCUUCUAAGAGCUGAAAAAAGGAAAGCCGUGUGUUGUGGAUAAUCUCUAACUAAAGGUUUCGGGUCUGAGCCUGGAUAUAGAAUAACACUUUUGUUAGGAAACGUUCUAUAUGAGACUUUUCUUGUGUAAAUUCAAAUUUAAUAUGUUCCAAAACAAAUACCGAACAAACGGUGGGAUCCAAAAACUGUGAAAGUUCAUGUUUGCUAGUUUCUCAUAAUUAAAGUAUUUAUACUUUUAAUGAAAAUAACCAAAAUCUAAACAGUACAUCAGUUACACUAAGUGAGCUGAAAAUAAAAUGGGCCAUCUUCUGUGUUGGGCCAUCGUAAGCAAUUGAGAUAAAAGUGUAGAAAUACCGUUUAGUGGCCACUUUUUGACGUAAAUUUUCUACCGAUAGCUUAUUUGGAUACAGCUAUUUAAUUUGUACCUAUUUUUUAAAAAGGAAAAAAAAAAUAUUACACAUCUAUCCACUUAGAAACAAUUUUGUUAUAUGGCAAACAACAUAAAUCCCGAUAAUUUAAAGUUUACUUACAAAAAAUUUUAAUAUUUUGCAUAAUUACUGAAAAUUUUGAUUUUAGGUAUGUCGAGAUACAUGAUUAGCUCUCGAUACAUUCAAGGAAGAUACAAAUUUUUUUCUUUGUAUAGAUAAAUAAUUAGCUCUCGAUACAUUUUUUUUUUAUUUUAGGUCCGUCGAGAUACAUAACUAGCUACCGAUACAUCCAAUAAAGAUACAUAAUUAGUUAAAAGUUUUACAAUUACUUUAUAAGAAUAGGAAUUUGUGUAAAUAUAAUAAAUUAAAAUAUAUGUUUAUAUUAUUUUUCCUGGUUCUAUCUGAAUGUUAGGACUAAAAUGAUUGAAUUCACUCACAUAGGACUGAAUGUCAGAAAAAAAAAAUGUCUGAACUUUGUCUAAACAUCACUCACAAUUUUACAUGUAACUUUAGAAACUACACAUGUUUAAAGUUCUUUAAACUAAUUUUGGUACGCUGCGGAAUGACUUAAAUGGGAGUCUCAAAAUCGAGUAAACAUGAAAGAAACUAAUUAUGGGAGUCACUCUCUCACAAGAAUUCAUUAUAAUAUAUAAAAAAAUAUUUUCUUUAAAAAAAAAAAAUAUAUAUAUAUAUAUAUAUAUAUAUAUAUAUAUAUAUUUUAUAUUCUCUUCUCCUUAUAUGAUAAAAUAUAGAGAAAUAUUUUCUUUAAAAAAAUAUUCUAUUUUCUCUUCGUUUCUGUUGUGUGUCUGGCAGGAAAGUGAAAUCCCAUAAAGGAGGAAAAAUUCCAAAGAGAGGAAUAAAGGUGAUGAAAAUCUUCUUCUGUGCAUGUGAAUCUCAGAUUUUGUGGGUACUAAGAGGCGGUUUGGAUAGGCUUAAAAAAAAAUGGUUGAAAAAAAAAUUUGUUAAAAGCGUUUUUGAAAGUGCUGAACUUAUUUUAAAAAUAAGCAGUUAAGUGUUUGAAUAAAAGUGCUGAAACUGAAAAAGUUAUUGAUGUGUUUAGUAAAUAAUACUUUUAAGCACUUGUUUUUUUGUCAAAAUAUCUGAAAUAUCCUUAUAACCAUUAAUAAUAUAUAGAGUUGAUUAUUAUUAAUUUUUAUUGCUAAAAUGAUUCAAACUAAAAUUAAUAUGUAUUUUAAUAUAUAUAUAUAUAUAUAUAUAUAUAAAUAUAAAUAUUUUCAUGAAUGACUAUUAAUUUGUGCGUUAAAAAAAUAUUUUUUUUAAGAGUUUAAGUGUUGAAUGUUUGUGUUUGAAAAAGAUAGUUAUAUAUUUAAAGAUUAUUUGUUUCUUCAUGAUUCAUAUCAUUAAGGUGCAAUUUGUGACGACACUUCAUGUUCUUAUUAAACUGGACUUGUUGCUUUUAACCUUCGAGGAUAGUGUUAAUAUAUAUGCCGAACUUAUCAUUAAGUAAAAUAUAUAUGUUACUAAUCAUUAUAAUUACAUUAAUAGAUAAAUAGUUUCAUACAAAAGAGGUACUAAUAUGGCUAGAGUUAAGUUCGCCAUAUUAGAGUAAAUCUUGAAAGUAUUAAUCUUUUGAUUGUGUUUCAGGAAACGUUGAAAUCCAAUUUGCCUAAGGAGGAACAUGUGUCCAGAUUUCUUAAGAGAAAAAAGGCAUUGAGAACCCCAGAUACCAAAAUUAAUCAAAUAAUGAUAUCAAAAAGAUGAUCUUCAACAAGAAGGUGAAAGGCUACAAGGGUAAAUUUGGAAUAAGGAAUAAUUAUAAGGGACAUAAAUUUAAUUUAUUUGGUUAACUCUAAUAGCUUAUAAUCUUCCGUACUUCUUAUUUUUGACUUAAAGAAAAGCCAAAAUUAAUUUUUUUAAGCACUUAUAAAAUUUACCAAAUAUUUUUUUAAGCAAAAAAUAGCUUAUGAGCUAUUUUGAUCAACUUAAAAACUAACCCAAACAUCCACUAAAAGGGAAAAGGAAGGGUGAAUAAAUUCAUCAAAUUAGUCUCAUUUUAUUUUCAUCCUAACUCGUGUUUACAUUAAAUUAAUAAAUAUGUGAUUAGAGGCGAAACCAACAAAAUUAAUGAUGUAAGUCAAAAAUAAUUGAACUUAAUCAAGCCUAAAUAUUGUUUAAUUUUGACUAAUGAAUUAAUGUAUACUUAAUUUCACCUUAUUAAAUCACUUAGAAUAUGUUUAGUACUUAUGGAGGAAAAUAUUUUCACUAAUUUUUUUUCUUAUUUUUAGUGAGUUAAUAUGUCUCGAAUGACCUUUUCUUUUUCUCUAUUGAAAAAAAACAAGUUACUUAAAACACUAACUUUUCUAUUGUACAAAGCGUAGAGAAUAAAAGUUCCGCCAGUAACAUUUCAUUUUUAUUGUCUUCUCCCCAUCGCCAAACAAUCCAUACACGCCCUCCCACCACCCACUAACCACCUCACCACUACCCCAACCCCUCGGCUCCCAUACCCACCUUCCACCCUACCCCCUCACUACCACCUUUUCUACGCCCUAAAUAUUUGUAUGGUAAUAUUUUAUACUUUAUUUACUUAAUAUUAUAAAAUAAAUAGAAAAAAAGUAUUUUGGUUCAUAAUUGGUAAGUAAUAUUCAUGGAAUAACUGAUAAAGUUAUUUCCAUGUGCUCAGAAAGGUCACAAGAUCAAGAUAUAAAAUAGUCGCUUACGGAGAUACAGAACAAGAAUGCGUACAAUAGAUCAGCCCUUAUAAUUCGAUCCUUUCUCAGACUAUGUUCGUAACAAAAGCUUAUUACACCGUCUUGUUCUUUAUUUUCGUUCGUAUCAAAUACAUCCGUAGUUAGGGGUGGAGCCAGCUUACGGUUAGAGGAUUUAUUCAAACCCCUUUCAAUCAAAAAAAUUAUAUUAUUUAUAAAUGAUUAAAUUUAUUUUUAAUGUAUAUAUUAUAGAUAUUGAACCCUCUUCAACUAGUUCAUAUAUUUAUCUUUUAUAUUUUAAACCUCAAAAUAAAAAUUCUGACUCCAUCAUUGUUCUUACGCCCUUAGUGAUAUAGGGUGCCUUUUAAUGAAUGUCACUCUCAAUGCUUGGGCAUACCCUUUUCCUACUUUAUAGUAUUGCUGAAUUAAAUUAAAUUCUUGUUAUCCAUUUAUAAGAGGGACACAUAAGGGAUUCUCAGCAGAUUUUGUUUAUCCUUUCCUAUGUAUGUAACAACCAUACAAAUUUAGAGGGAACAUAUAUUAGUACUUCUUUCUGUUACUUUCUCAGUAUACCAAGUUGCAUGUUUGUUACUUAUUAUAAAUUACUCCCUCCUCUCUCCAUCUUAUGAAAUUUUUGUUAUAGCAUUUAUAAUCGCUUUCGAUUUAGGUGGGCAACCUGACAAAUAUAUAUUUAUAGGAACUAGCUAAUCGAUUUCCCGAAUAAAACUGUAAGAAUUUGGAAAGGUAAAUAUGAACUAAAGGCUAAACAAUUCUCUUGAACUAUAAAAAAUUCACUUAAAUUAUUUUGUACUAUGAAAAAGGUCACAAUAAUUUAAUUAAUAUGGACUAAAGCGAGUAGUAAUUAAUGCUUUUUUUGUUUCCUAAUGCAACACAUUAUGGACCAAAUUAGUUUGGAUAAAACUCAUUUAUUUGAAUUGCAUGGUGGAAGACAUCGCUCAUUUCGUUUUUACUUGUUCGCUAUAUUAAAACUAAAUUUUCAUUUUCAUUUUCAUUUUCAUUUAUCCACUUUAGCAUAUCAAGAAGAGAAUGAUAUUUUUUUCCAAGUUUAAUCAUUAAUAGCAAUUAUUCAUCUCUCAACUAUUUCUCAUUACUUGAGAUUAUAUACUAAUUAACAUGAAUAUUAUAAUGAAAUAAAAAUUUUAAGAGUAUUUAUUAUUCUUAAAAAAUGUGCAAAAUAUAUUAUGAACAAAUAAAAGUGAACAAAAGAGUUCUAUUUAACCAUGCUCCAUUUCUUUAAAGUAGAUUUUAUUCCUUUGAUUAAUAACUUGUCUACUGAUGAUAAAGUAAAAGUAUACAAAAUAAGUAAACUUACGAAAUAAUCAAAUAUUUUUUAAAGUGUUAAUUAGUGCAUGAAAAUCAUGACAUGUUUAAAAGCGUUAGAAACACGUACGAUACACACUUUUGCCUUACUUGUAAUAAAAGUUUCCCCAUAAUACCAUAAUAAAUCAACAAAAACAAUUCAUAUCAUGAAAUUAUUUAUUCAUCAUAAUACCUAGCUAGCUAGCUGCUUUUCGUUGAAGAAAAAUAAAUCAUAGUUAUGAUCUAGACUUAAUUUAGAAGAAAUGGAUAUGCAAAAUCAAUAACUCUCAGAUUGAGCCAAUAUAUACUUUAGUUAUUUUUAAAGGAUGUGUUACAUAUUAAGUCGGUCAGUUAAAAUAAUUAUAUUCGUUAGUUCAAUAUACAGAAAUAUAUGCUGCUAUUUCGUAUCAGAAAUGUACAGUUAAUAUAUUUCAUAUAAUAAUAUACAUUUGUUGGUUGUUAUACUUAUUUUGAUGGGCGACUAUACAGCAUAUAUACUUUACUGCUUACUUUACUGCUUGUCGUGAGACAUUAUUUGGUUUAUUAAACAUUUUAUAUAUAAGUUAGCUUUUAAUAUUAUUAAUUAAUGAAUUAGGUUAAACAAUCAUGUUUCAUAUGGAGCUAUAAUUACUAGUUUAAUUCUUAACUUAAACUGUCGUGUUUUCAGAAAUUAGUGGUUAUUUUAUUUGCUUCAUUAUAUGUCUUAAGUUCAUAUAUAGAAUAAUAUACCCGUCCAAUUUACGUGUGAAUUUUAAAAUGGGAUUACACUUACAAAUAUGAAUAAUGGUUACAAAAAGAUUUCACAAUCGUAUUGAAUUAGUUCACAUGUUGUUUUAGAAGUUUUAGUUUGGCCAAAUUUUUAGAAAACUAGAAGUGCUGAAUUUUUGCCUUAAUAAACGCUUAAUUCUAGAGGGUAAUUGAUGCGUUAGAUUCAAGGGCGGCUCAACGCGAAUUGUGGCCUAAAGCCAACUUUAAGAAGAGGCCUUAAAUUUAAUUGAUAAAAUUAUAAAUAUAUUUAUUUGAUUUCUUUUCUUUUUGUUUUAUGGUGAUGGUGUACAUGUCAUCUUGUAUGUAUAUUGACUAUUUAUGUUACUACACGUUAGUGCUUAUUAGUAUAUAGUUUUUGAACUUGAUGUUAGUUUUUGAAUAUCUAAAUUUUAAAUAUUGUAUUAAUCUAAUCUUAUUUAGCUUCAAAAAUUAAUCAAAUUAACCGUCGAAAUAAAAAAAUUGCAUAAAUUGAGACGAAAGGAAUAUUUAUUUGAAUAAUGUCUACUUGUUUCUACAUAAACUCAAUAAAAUAUUUAAAAGACAUGCAUAAAUUUUAUUCUUUUAACGAAAUAAGGAUACUAAUUCUCUAAUAUAUGAUACUAAUUCUCUAAUAUAUACUAUAUAAUAUUAAAUAUUAGUGAGAAUAUGUGGCCUUUAAUUUCGGGGGGCCUAAAGCCAUGGCUUUAAUUGCUUCCCCCUUGAGCCGGCACUGGUUAGAUUGAGUUUUUAUAUUAGGAACAAUAUAAAUAUUUUUAGAUGGUAACAGAAGUUAAAAUAGUACGCUUUUAUCAAAAAGCACUCUGAGAUUCCUGAUUAAAAUUUUAAGUUUUUGAAGUUAUGUUAUUUGUUAUUUAAGGUUGCGGUUGAAUAUGCAUUUUACAUGAAAAUAUUUAAAGAUCAGUUUUUCAAAAAUCGAUCAAGUUUCAUGGUCAAACAAAAUUUUAAAGACAAAACUUUUAAAUCUGAUCCAAAAUCAAGGCCAAGCGCGAGCUGUGAUUAUAAUUUUGUCAAAAAUGUUGUUGAAAUAAUUUAACCAAAUAUAAAUUGCUACUCUCCAUAAGUAAUUUUUUCAAAAAAAAAAAAUCAUUUUUAAUAAUUCUUUUAAUAAAAAACUAAUCAAUUCUUUUUGAAAAAAAAUGGUGAAAGGCUAUUCGAUUAAUAAGUCGGACACUUGUUCUGGUUUAGUCAAGCCUUUUUUUUUUAAAUAGUCUUUGGAAAUGAUUUAUUUCCCAAAAAUGAUCUUGUAUGAAAAAUAUAGAUUUUCAACUAAUUAUUUGUGGCUUUCCUUUAAAGCAAGGAAAACAUUCUGAAAAGAAAUAACGAUGUUGUCAGAAAUUACAGACAAAGACACGUCCUUUUUAAGCUUUCUGACGUGGAUGAUGACCUGGCACUUUUUAAAGACAAAUCUAGAGUGCCCUUUGAACAAUAUGAAUAGCCAAAAAUUAAAAAAUAAAUAUUAAAUAUAAAUAAAUAAAAAGAGAAGAAUUAAUUGAAGAAAAAGUUAAAAAGAAUAAGAUGGUCCAUAAUAUAAUAACGUGAAAACUUAUAAGAAAAAGUUCUGCUGAAAAACACUGGCACGAGUCACGUGCAUUAGUGUGGUUUUCAAGAUCUACAAUAUUUUUAAUAAUAAUUGUUUGUUAGAGUAUAAUAUACGUAAUAAAUAAAAUAUUCCAUCUCUUUCGUUUCAGUUAUUUUGCUUACUAAAAAUAACAGAUUCCAAAAUAAUUCUCAAUAAUAAUAAUAACGUAUUCAGUGUAAUUCUACAAGUGAAUCUGAAGAGAAUUAUAUGCACACAAAUCUUAUUCUAUCUUAAAAAAUAAAGAUGUUAUUUUUGAUAUAUCUUAACUAUAAAAAAGACCGAAAAAGAAAAUAAGGAGAGUAAAGUCAUGGCAAAAACUAAACUUAAAAAAGUACGACCAAAUAUUAAUUAAAGAACAAUUAUUACAGUAAAAUAAAAAAGAAUAAUUGGGUAGAAAAUAAAAAGUACUAACCAAAAGUGGAAUAAAAUGUGAUGAAAAGAAAGUGGUAUUGAAUUUUUGAAUUAAGAUCAAGAAUAAUUUAAUCAAUUACCUGUUUAGUAGUUAAUAUUUUUUUAAAUAGCAUGAAAAAAAAGUAUAAAAUAUAUAGGAAGGAAUUCAAUUUUUCGUGUAGGAUACUUUGAUGAUUAUAUGAAUCGAUGUUAUGCAUGCAUGUAUGAGCAAUUAGAACAUUCAUGGAAUUAGAUUCUCUAUACAUCUAUUUUAAUAUGUAAAUAAAGAUUUGAGAAGGAUUAAUUAAGAAUAAUGUGGUGUGAUAGCUAAGAUCUCUUUAAUUUUAAUUCGAUGCCUAUUUUAUCUAUAUAAAUUCAAAUUUUCUCUUAAUUAAAUACAUAUAUAGUAAUUGAUCCAUAAUGUACAAUUAAAACACAUAUACAGAAUAUAUGUAUAUAUAACAUAAUAGCAAUUUUAUUUUACUUUUUUAUUCGGUGUCCGAUAUCUCCUUUAAAUCAUAAUUAAUUCUAAUUUACACCAAAUAAUUUCCCUUAAAAAGUAAAACGUUUGCAUUCAACUUGAUACUCGAAAUAGUACUUAAAUUUUCUUGAAAAGAAAAAGUAAUUCAGUUAAUAAAGUACAAAUUUAUACACAUAGGGCUUUGACCUAGCUAGACGAGUAAUUUUUUUUUCAUAUAGAGCUAGACAAAUACUUAAAAAAGCUUCUUUUUAAUUAGCCUUUUUAGUCUAAAACAGACAAAUUUAGGGUGGACUUAUGAUCUAUGCAUGGUUGGUCUCUUUUCUACCAAUAGUGAUAUGGUUAAAUAUAUAAUUUGUACAUUUUUUUUUUGGUUAUUUUGAAAGUUAUAUAUCAUUUCUUGUUUCUUGAAUAUUUCUUGGUUUUGUCAUGCAAAUUUCUCGACAUUUUCUUUAUAUUUUCGAGGUUAAGCUUGAUAUAUAUCAUGAUUCAUGUCAAAAAGCCUUGUAGAAUGAAAUGUCACUAGAUUUUGGGUUUUGUAUAUUUACUUCAACAUAUGAGUUUAUAGAAUAACAAGAGUUAUGGUAGAUUUAGUAAGUAGUGUCAGAAUGUGCCUUGAAUUUUCUAUUUUAUUUGAUUUCUGUCAUAAUUAGAAUUAUUUGAAAAAAGAUUUGCUUGUUGGAAUAAAAGAUCUCUUUUUCUUAUUAGGUUUGUAGUCUUAUUUUAUCUCUCUCCUCAAUUCAUGAUACAAUAACAUUCAUAAUGUAGUUGUUUAAGAGUUUUGUUUAGGGAGAGAUUUUCUCAGUUUUAUAUUUAGGCCAAUUGGUCAAUCAUAAAUAUCCUUUUUAGUUUAGUUUUGUGUUAUUGAAUUAUCACCGUCUUGAUUUGUAAAUUUUAUGCUUCCGCGCAUGACGCCCUCUCGAUUUCGAACCCAACAACUAAUAUUUCAUCCUUAAUCAGAGGGUUUCGAGUUCGAGUCGACUUGUCAAGGAGCGCUUUACUCCAAUAUGAGACUUUCUGAUAUGAAUUCAAAUUCAAUUGAUCGAGCUUCGAUAUGAAUACCAAAAACCACUUUUGAAAACCGAAAAAAAAAAUUAUAAUAAAAGAGCUAUGCUUCCAAUUGACAUAUAUAUGUUGACCAAAAAAGUCUGGCCAUAAAGAGAAAUAUUUUCAACAUUGAGACUCAUAGCCUAUAGGCAAGACAUUAUAUUUAACUGAAUAAAUUUGUCAUGCUACUUUAAUUUAUCUUUUUAAUUAUCACCUAGGCAUGCCUAAAAGCAAAGGUUGAUUAGGAAUAUCACUUGAAAGCUGUGAUCUUAGUUUAAAAAAUAAAAGACAAAUUGUUUGCAUUCACCAGAAAUUAAUUGAGCAGACAAUUUGUCUUUUAUCUUAGUCCACCCAUGCAAAGUGCAUGUUCUAGUUUAGUUUAAUUAGCUCAAUUACCUAUAGGCUAUACAUAAAUUAAUGAAUCUAAUAUACAAAUAAAUAAAUUUAAAAGAUACUCCUACGUAUACGAAUACGAUUAUCAUACGUACUUCCUCUCUCUUUUAUUUUAUUUUGUUAAAAUCAAAUUAACAUGUGGGGAAAAUAAAUAUUCUUCUUGUGUCAUCCAUCUCAAAAGAAAUUAAAAGUUCCUAUUUUUUUACUCCAUAUUUAUAUCGAAUUUAUAUAAGAAAAGUUGUUUGUAUACGCAUGAUGCAUUUCUACAUUUUUGUGCAUUUCUUAGGGUUAAACUUAUUAUUUUUUUUUAUGAGAAUAUCGAAUGCGAAUAAAUAUUUUUGAACUAUAUAUAUACCUCGUGUAUACGCAUUAUUGAGACCUCUAAUUUUAUCAAAAAGAAAAAGAGACCUCUAAUUUUAACCAAAAAUAACAAGUUACUGUAAUAUUGUAAGUUUAUUGGAUCCAAUAAAAUUUAUGUUAGUUAUUUGGUUGGGAUCCAACAAAAUUAACCAUAUAUCAUUACUUAAAUUUCAUUAGACAUCAUUAUUAUGCUAAAUCAAGGGUCACGUGCAAUUAAAGAAAAAAUGAUGGACUAUAAAACCAACGGUCAUGUGACCCCAUUGAACAUAAUUCUCCUUUUUCCAUUCGAUGUUUGAUAUUCAUAAUGGAGUCAUGUACUCGACUACCAUUUAGAUUUGCAUUUUGAAGAACCCAUUUGUAGAAUCGGACUGUUUCUAAUUUGAUUUUUUUUCAUUUUCACAAAUUCGAACCUAAAUUACUGAUUAAGAAUGAAUGGAUCCAAUCACUCCAUCACGACCCAUAAUGGCACCCAUUAUAUAUAUAUAAUCCUUUGAAAAUAGAUUAAUCCAUCGUUAUUGCUAAAACACUGAGAGAAUAAUCAUAUACUGAAGGUUUGUUUAUAAGUAAUUUACUAAUUUUUACAAGAUCAGAAAACUGACGGUGAACAGCCAGCAAUCCAGAUCUUUUAUAUAUAUAUAUAUAUAUAUAUAUAUAUAUACCUUAAUCAAUUUAUCUUCAAAAUUACGAUUGAGUUUAUGAUUAAUUAACUUGGAAAGAAAAUAGAGAAGUAGUACACAAAUAAAGAGUUCAUUUCAAAAGAAAUUUAAUUUGACUGCCAUCAUUUAUAAAAGAUAGGAGUAGGUGGAUAAAUAAUAUUGGUCUAUUGGGUUAAAACUUAAAAGUACUUGAAUUUGAAAUUGAAAAGUUCGUAAAAAAAUUAAGAAUCUUCAUUUUAUCCACAAAUUUUAGUGAAAGUACAUAGUAUUAAUUAAUCAUACAUCAUAUAUAUUUUGCAUUGUUCCUUAUUAGUUAUUAUAUUUUUUUUAAUUAUUUCUUUCUUUUUUGUAUUGAAUUUGCAAAAUUUGAAUCGAUAGCCUUUCAAAAAUAGUCUCUCUACCUACAACUUACAAGGUAGUGGUGAGGUCUUCGUACACUUUAUUCUCCCCAAAUCUUAUUUGUGAAAUUUUAUUGAGUAUAUUAUUAUUGUUGUAUAUGUAAUAUUUAUUUAUUAAUUUGAUAUAAACAAUUCAAUGUGAAAAUUCUCAUAUUUUUUCCAUUUUUAUGAAGUUUCCAAUAACUUUGGAGACUUUUUUUUGACUAUGCCCUAUGCUCACACGUCUUUGAAAGUUUGAAUAUUGACCCUAGAACAGUACUUUCUUCGUUUCAAAAUACGUGAAUUGUUAAAGUAUUUAUUGAUGUUUCAAAAUAAAUGAAUCAUUGAUUUUUUUUUUCAAAUUUACCCUUAUAACUUAACAACUAAUUAACUUUUGAAAAAGUAUUACCAAGGUCAUCUUUUUCUUUUUUUGGAUAAAAAUGAAAAGUUAUGUUAAAUUUAUGUUUUUAAUAUUUUUUUCUUAAUUUGUAUAUUAAAAUUCAACAAUUCAUUUAUUAUGAAAUGAAGUGGGUAUAAAUUAGCAUUUAACUACCAGCGCAUUUUAGUUCGACCCCGUACCCUCAUUUACCUAACAUCCCUUACCAAACGUUAAAGUACGCCGACCCCCCACUCCCACGAAAAAACAUGGUCCUACUUUGUAUAGGGAAAUUUCUUUUUCAAGUACUAAUAAAUCCUGAAUUUCGAAGAGAAACUCAAACAAGAAAAUUAAGAAGUGGGUUACUUGGUGGAAGACUGGCUGCGAAAAUCAAAUAUUAUUCAUUUUAUUUGAAAUUUUUAAUGUUAAAAAUAGAAUUGAAAUUGUAUUUAAUUAUAUUUUUGCGACAGAAUAAUCAGAGUUUGAAUUUACUUUUCCUGAAAAAAUAACACAUAAAUAGUCAUUCAAAUUUGACCUCAGGUGGCAAGUAACACGGUAGCAAUUCAAUUUUGAGAGUACAUAUUUAGACAUUUUAACUUGAUCUCAACUAACAAUUAAACACACCAACCGUGUCUGUUUUAUCUAGUGGACGCUCAAUGGUGUUCCACAUAAAUUUUAUAGGCGUCUAGAUGACCAUCUCAUAAGUUGGAGCGUUCAACUGGCACAAUGAAGUUGAUUUGUCUAAAUGUGCAUACUCAAAAUUGGAGUAUUUUAUUGCUUGUUCCGGCCUGAUUAAAAUGUCUAUUUAUGUAUAUAUUAUGUCUUUUCUAAAUAUAGUUAUACUGUUCAAUUAUAAAAUCACUAAAAUUACCUAAUACCAUACAAUCAAAUCUGCUCUAAAAGGUAAUUUAAUAAAAUAGAUAGUCACAUAACAUCAUAAUUAGAGCCCGCCAUUAUAUAUCAUUAUAAAUACUUUUCACUUUAUUUUAAAUUUUGAAAUUGGAGUUGAUGAUGAAGUUGUGGUUAGUUAUAAAUUUUUAAAAUAACAUUUAAUUAUUUGAACCAUUUUUUCUAAGAAAAUAUGAAAUAUGAUUUGAACAUAAAAUAUAAUUUAAAUAAGAUAUUAAAAGUUAAAAGAUUAGGAUAAAAUUUUUAAAAGAGAAAUAUAAUAAAGAAUAGUGAAAUAAAGCUUUGUAUGUUUUCCAAAUUUCAAAUAUAUUUAUUCUCAAAUUAAAAUAUAUAUAUAUAUAUUCUCCUAAUCAAACAUGUCCUUAAAUACACACAAAGAUGGGAAGGAAAUAAAGUCUAUUUUUCUUUUUAUGCAUAUGAAGGAAAGGAGAAAAGAAAGCAAAGUAUAUUUUACAGAAAAAGUAGAGAGUAAAAAAGUAAAGUGUGUGUUUUUUCUUGUCUAUAGAGACGCCCUUUGAAACGUAGUGUCUAAAUAUGGUAGUGCUUGUUACCUAUAAGGUAAAAAAGAAAAAAAAAAUACAUACUACACAAUUUGAUAUGUGUAUUUUGUAUUUAGAUACUUUAUCGUAAAAAAAUAUACGUAUUAUUUUUGAUACUAUAGUACUAGUAGUAUUGCUACAACAAUAAUAACAUAUCUAAUAUUAAUAGUACAUAUUACAUAUAAGGUAAAUACCACUACACAAUUUUUAUGUAUAUUUUUGUAUUUUAAAUACUUUAUAAUAAAAUAAUAAAAUUUUAUUUUUGAUUCUACUAGUACUAGCAUAUAUGUACUAUUACAACAACAAUUACAUAUUAAAGAGUAAAUGUACACAGAACACAUGACUCCUUUGGUACAAGAAUUAAGAAAUAACUAAUCUCAAAAUUAAUUUUUGGAUGAACUUAUUUUAUGUUUAUUAAAAGAAUACAUGAAAUAACUAAUUCGAAAUUAAUUUUAGAAUGAACUUAUUUUCAUGUUUAUUAAAAAAUGUAUAAAAUAAUUCACUCCUAAACUAUACUCCCCUGUUAAAAAAAAAAUGAUCUACUUUUAUUUUUAGUUUGUUUAAAAAAGAAUGACUCCUUUUCUUUUUUUUUUGCAAUACUUUAAUUUUAACUUUCUACAUAACAUGUUUAGAAGAUUAAAAGAUAUUUUGAUAUAUUUGACAUAAUUUUAAUUUUAAGUCAUAAGAUUUAAAUUCUUUUUUUUUAUUUUCUUAAAUUGUGUGUCAAGACAAGAUUGUUAUUCUUUGAGUAAUUAAUUUUUUUUCUCGGAUAACUUGUUUUCAGCUAGACCUCUAGUAUUAGUAGUACCACAUAUAAGGUGAUACACAAUGCACAAUAUUAUAUACAUAUUUUUAUAUUUUUGAUACUUUAUAGUAAAAAUAUAAAUUUUUAUAUUUGAUUCUAUACUAGUACUGUACUAGUAGCAGUAUUAUAUAAUAGGGGGUGUUGGUCAAGAAUCAAGAUUCACUUUCCAUAUCGUUGGUCGGAGAGAGAGAGGUCCUUUGAUAAGUCAUAAAUCAUAAGUCCUCUUUGUGUUUUGUUGAGAGUUUCAAGAAAAUCUUGCUGACCCAAAAUUCUCAAAUCUUCAACAAAUUGUAAUGGGUACGUGCCAUUUUCUCUUCUUUUUCUUGUUUUCUGUUCCUAUGAAUUGUUCGUGAAAACAAUCUCUCACAGAAAUAUAAAAUACUAAUGGUAUAUAAGCGAUGUGAUCCGGUUCUUUCUUUGGACUCUACGCUAUGCGUAGAGCUUUGGUCUUAUUCUUUUUCUUGUUUUCUGUUCCUAUGUGCUAUAUGUGGAAAUAAUAUAGAAAUGAAAGAUGAGGCUGUGUAACAUAGAAUCUUGUUGGUUGGUUCUUUGUUGAAGCCUGUGCAUAGUGGGAGUUUUAGCGUGUCGGACAGUUUUGUGUUCUUGGUUCUUGUUUUUUUCUAAAGUUUAUUAUUCCAGGCCUAACUUUCGCGCACCUCGACUAAUGCUUGGUCAGAAUAAAUGAGAAGAAUUAUCUAGUGUUUUUCUCUUUGUUAAGAAUUGAACGUGAGAACUUAUGGUGCUCAACCAAGUAUGGUUUUUUCUUGGUUGGUUUUUGUUAAUUGUGUGUUUGGGGUUGUGGGUUGUCUUGUUUUUCUUGUUCUAAGUUACGUUCUGUUGAGUUUUGGGCGAAAAAAAAAUCAUGUCUUUUUUUUAGUUUUUAGUUGUUCUUUUGGUUCUGGGGUUUGGAGGAUUUUGGUGCUUCUGUGUGUUGUAGAGUGGAAGGGAACCUCGGAGUAGUCGGUAAAGUUGCUAUCAUGUGAUCGCGAGGUCACGAUUUCAAGCUGUGAAAAAUGUGCAGAAAUGCAAGGUUGGAUUUUGGUACUUGUGUGUUGCAGAAAUGCAACAGUUUCUUGUAGAAAUGCAGGUAAGACUGCAUACAAUAGGACUUGUGGUCUGAACCUUCUUUGGAUUUAGUGCAUAACAUGAGUUUUAGUACAUCGGAUUGUCCUAUGUAUGUUAUGUUUCUUUCUUUUUUCCACACAUACCACUUCCUUUUGUAUGUGUUUAUGAGAUGUCUAGAGUUUUUUUUUUUUUUUUUUCUUGUGAAGAGUUUGUGGCAUAUAUCUCUCAUGGUGUAUAUGGUUCCCACAAGCCCCACUAGACCAGACCCACACAGGCACAGGACACAAGCACCUUAUUUUGGGGGGCUUUAUUACUACUUCUUAAUACUAAUUUUCUUUGUUGUCUUGGUUUAUUCUAUACUUUCUAAUCUUUUUAUGAUUGGUGAGUUUUAUCUUUGUCUCAUUUUUUCCUGUACUAAUCAUUUUCUUAAUUACUUGUUUCACUCUUGGGGUUCCCAGUAUCUUCUUUGUGAUUGGAAACAGUGACUCUCUUUAUUGGGUGUCUUAUCUGAGAUUUUGUGUUUUUUUCUUGUUACUUCAGAAGCUACACUGAGCUAUUCCCAAAACAUAAUGGAUGAUGAGUAUGAGAAAUUUAUCAGAAGAAUGAAUCCACCAAGGUACUUGUUACUUAUUUCCUUAAUUGUCACUUCAAUUUUAAUGCAAUACAUUUGAUUCAUGGCAUUUACUCCUACUUCAUUUGUGUUUCUGUCAGAGUUGUAAUUGACAAUGAAUCUUGCAAAAAUGCCACUGUUAUACAGGUAUGUCUAUUUGUUUUUUGGUUGUCUUGAUGUGCUCUAAAAUCUAGAGUUAUGAAAAAUGUCAACGGGUGUGUGUUGGAUUCUCCAAAAGUAGUGUAUUUUCGGAGAAUCUGACGCGAGUGUGGCAUCGAAAGUGAAGAGUCUGUGCAAUUUACAUGAUGGGGUGUUUCCCGAUUUUGUGAAUUUUUGGUAUCCUGAUGUAGGUGGAUAGUGCUAACAAACAUGGAAUACUUCUGGAGGUGGUACAAAUUCUUACUGAUCUGAACUUUAUCAUUACUAAGGCUUAUAUUUGCUCUGAUGGUGGAUGGUUCAUGGAUGGUAAGGACAUUUACCUUUUCGUCUCGUUGGAUCUUAGCAUAUUUGCCAAAGAUUUUGAGGGUGAAAUUAAUGAUGAGUUGUCUUAUGUUGGCAGUAUUCAAUGUUACCAAUCAAGAUGGAAACAAGAUUACAGAAGAACCUAUCUUGGAUUAUAUCAUGAAGGUGAACUGUGGUCCGUGUGCAAUUUCGGGAACUUUUUGUUUACAUCUAUUUAAGACUGAAUGUCUUUUUGUUUGUGUGGUUGUUUCGAUUUCAGUCUCUUGGUCCCGAUUCUUGUUUUGCCUCGUCUAUGAGAAGAUCAGUUGGGGUUACUACAGGAAUGGACCACACUGCAAUUGAGUUAAUUGGAAGUGAUAGGCCAGGUCUACUCUCUGAAGUGAGUGCUGUCCUUACUAACCUUAGAUGCAAUGUGGUGAAUGCCGAAGUGUGGACUCAUAACACCCGAGCAGCAGCUAUAAUGCAAGUUACUGAUGAUGAAACCGGGGGUGCAAUUGCUGACGCCGAAAAGUUAUCUAUGAUCAAGAAACUCUUGUGCAAUGUACUUAGAGGUAGCAAUAAAUCAAGAGGUGCCAAAACAUUGGUAUCUCAUGGGGUCACUCAUACGGAUAGAAGGCUUCACCAGUUGAUGUUUGCUGAUCGGGACUAUGAACGUGCCACGGGUGAUGGAUCAGCGGAUGAUAAAGAAAGGCCAAAUGUGAAUGUCGUUAAUUGGCAAGACAAGGACUAUUCAGUAGUGACAAUUCGGUGCAAGGAUAGACCAAAACUUCUGUUUGAUACAAUUUGCACUUUGACAGAUAUGCAGUAUGUUGUUUUCCAUGGCAAUGUCGAUACUGAAGGACCAGAAGCUUACCAGGUACUAUAGUUUCCUACAUAUUUCAAAAAUAUCGGGAUCUUGAUUUCUCUGUAUUUUGCGGACUUAACGAUAAGCUCUUGUUGCAUUUCCAGGAAUACUGCAUUAGGCAUGUUGAUGGAUCCCCUGUGAAAUCAGAUGCGGAAAGGCAAAGAGUGAUUCAAUGUCUUGAAGCAGCAAUAGAAAGACGAGUAUCCGAGGUUAGCACUUUUUCGGUUCUAGCUAGCUGCUUCAAGUAAUAACUUAUAGGUUAAAAUAUGAGGGAGUUCUACUGUUUUUUGAUAGCUUCAUUGAGUUAAAAUAUGCUUGUUAGCUUUGUCUUAGCACAUACAACUGCCAAUUUGUGUGUUUAUUAGUUGUCUGAUUAUGUCUUUCCUGUUGUCUUAUUUUAUAAUUUAAUGAAGUGCCUUGAGUCAUAUUAGAUUUGUCUAGGUGUUUUAAGACCUAUUCUCAUUGGACAAAUUAUAGAUAAUUUUAUACUGCCUUUUUCUUGUCUUGGUAUGCUUUGGUUUCAUUUCUUAUAGAAUCAUUUUUCCUGUUUGACAGGGAUUGAAGCUAGAAUUAUGUACCACGGACCGAGUAGGGCUGCUAUCUGAUGUUACUAGAAUCUUCCGCGAGAACAGCCUCACUGUCACGCGAGCUGAAGUGACAACAAGAGCAGGCAAAGCUCUCAAUACUUUCUACGUUCAAGAUUCCUCAGGGUAUCCUGUCGAUACUAAGAUCAUUGAAUCUGUUCGACAAACAAUUGGACAAACGAUACUUCGAGUGAAAGGUUGCCCUGAAGAGUUGAAUCCAGUACAACAAGAAUCUCCAACUAGGUUCCUCUUUGGUGGUUUGUUCAAGUCCAGAUCCUUUUGUAAUUUCGGGUUGGUUCGAUCUUACUCUUGAAAGGAAAACUUAAUAGUCCUCUUUCCAUUGUAUAUUCCCAUUUACUCUUCUUAGAUUUUAGGUAUGGUUAAUUAGCAAAAGUUGAUUACUUACCUAAACCAGUGUCUUUUAACUUUUAAGUGUCUGUAAAUAUUACAUUCUUGAUCACAUUUUGCUCUGUUCAUUUAGUAAUGGAUUCAACACAAUGUUGACCAAGUUGAAAAUUCAAGAAUCAUGUAGCAACAACCUUACUAGGGGUAAGGUCCGCGUGCGCUCUGUCCUUUCCAAAUCCACUUAUAGGAUUUUACCGAGCAUGUUAUUGUUGUAUGUUAAGUUGCACGGACUCUCGACUUUCGAUGCCACACUUGCAACGGACGUUUGGAGAAUCCGAAACGCAUCCAUUGACAUUUUAUGAACAAAUUAUAGUCAAAGGUGGCCCUUUGGUUUGAGUUGAUAGCAACUAGCAAUGUGACAAACAUUUGAACUAUGUUUGAAUUGAGAUUCUUGAUGUUUUUCUACAGUAUAUUUUGGAGAAAAAUAUGAAUCUUGUAAUGGUCAAAUAUUGUUAGAAACAUUUCUUUUCAAUCAAUAGAAAAGACCAUGUUAUAUUUUUAAUGUUAUUUUUUUUUUAAAUUCAUAGAGCCAUCCAACUUUGACUAGCCAAAUUUCUUGGUUUAGUCUGCCAAUAAAUCACGGCGGCUUGGCUGGAUCACUGGUCUUUAUUAUGGAUUUAGUAUUAAGAUUCACAUGGCCAAGUAUUUUAAUAAAGAUUUAACGUAUGUUACUUAUGGGUUCGUUUGGUAUAUUGAACAAGCAUAAAUAAUCUUGAGAUAAAAAUUAGGAGAAAAAUAUAAAUUUCGAUAGUUUGGAGUUUAAUUACACAAAAUUUUGAUGUUUUGCAUAAUUACUGAAAAUCUUGAUUUUGAAUCUAUUGAGAUACAUAAUUAGUUCCUGAUACAUCCAGCGAAGAUAUAUUUUUUCUUUGUAAAGAUACAUAAUUUGCUCCCUGAUACCAUUUUUUCGAUUUUGGAUUUCUCGUGAUACAUAAUAUAUCCAACGAAGAUAUAAUUUUUCUAUGUAAAGAUAUAUAAUUAGCUCCGGAUACAUUUUUUGGGGGAUUUUGAAUCUGUCGAGAUACAUAAUUAAUUCCUAAUAUAUCCAGAAGAUACAUAAUUAGUUGAAAUUUUUGUAAUUACUUUGUAAGAGUGAAAUUUGUGUAAAUAUGAUUAGUUAAGGUGCAUGUUUUCGUUAUUUUGUUAUUUUUAUUAAAGACUAAUUAUUGUCGUAUUCCUUGUCUGGUUACAAAUUCUGGAUUAAGUUAUACUAAAUUAGUAAUUAGUAUCAGGACUAGUUAUCCCUGCGAGAGGUGGAAUAUAGUAUCCAGAUUAGUUAUUCCGAGAUAAAAUAGGAAAAAUGACAAAAGUACUCCUAAGGUCUCUCAAAUUGUUUAUCUACUAAAUAAGACAAAAGAUAUUUUUAUAAAUAACAAAUUCUUCUCAUAAAUUAUGCAACACAUGUUAUUUUUAAUAUAACAAACCAGAUGUAUUAAGAAAUAUAACUAAUCUCAGCAUAACCAAUCACAUUAUAAUUUGUCUUCAAACCAAAUGAUCCUAAAAUGCAAGUGUAUUUACACUGUAACGUAAAAUGAUUUGAGCUUAAAUGGAGAAAUAUGAUUGUAAACUCAUAUAGCCUACCUCAAUUAGUUGGAGAUUGAAGCGUAGUUGUUAUUUACGUAGCGUAUGAUUAAGUAUGAAACAUAAGAAGAGAAAUAUUUGAGUAACUAAUCUCACUUAAUCUAAUUUCUAUUUGCUAUUUGCAGCUUUCUUUUAGAUGAUCCAAUUAUUAUAAAAUUCCUUUUACAUUAUAAAUAUAUUAAAGUUAAACUCUUCUAAUAAACCAUAUGAUGAUGGUUCCACCAUUUUGGCAUUUUGAAAAAAAAAAAAUUAUAACUAAUCCCCACUUUUGGAAACUUGAUAAGAAUUUUAGACCUAAGUAUUUGUCAAGUUGUUUAUUAGGUCCAUUUGUUCACAUUGAACUUUUAAUCUUGUUGGAGGUUACAAGUUGGUAGAUGUACACUACUCAGAUUGGUUAAAUUGAAUUAAUGGAAUUAUGUCAUCCUAUUCAAAUUUCAUCUUAAGAAUGCAUUGUUUGUAUUUUGAUAUGUGAUUUAGCGGUUAAUAAAUUCAAUAGAGAUCAUAAUAAGUCGGGAUUUAAAAGACAGCACAGACAGAAAAUAUUAAUAAGUGAUUUCGUUCAAUAUGUUUUAUGAAUUGGACUGAGGUAUUUCAUACCUAUUUGAUACCUGUUUAUAAUUGGAACAAUAAAAAAAAAUGAUUGUAGAAGGUUAAUAUUCAGUACAUGGGGUUCAAUUGAAUUCCCUUAGUUAAAAGUUCUAUUGCACAAGUAGCGUAAAAAUAAUUUUCUCAUAUAUUGAAAAUGGAAAAGGUAUGAAUAUACCCUGAACUUUGAUAAAUAGUAUAGAUAUAUCCUCCGUCAUAUUUUAGGUACAAAUAUACCCUUAUCGUUAAUGAAAAUGUAUAUAUAUACCCCUGAAUUUUGAUAAAUGGUACAGAUAUACCCUCUAACAUACUUUAGGUACAAAUAUACCCUUACAUUAAUGAAAAAGUACAUAUAUAUCUUUCUCACUAAUGGCAAGACACGUGUCACAAUCAUAUUCUUUUGGUCUUUUUAAUUUAAUGUAUUCCAACACCACCCAAAAAUAAUUUUAAUUUAACUCAUAACCGAUCCAAAUAAUAACUCAAGCCCCAACCGGUCUAAUAGAAAGAGAAAGAGAAAACGAAUAUGCGUGAAUAGAGAUGCGUCUUGAAGGUUUUAUUAGAUCGGGUCAGGUUUGGGUUAUUAUUUGGAUCGAUUUAUAGGUUAAAUUAGAAUUAUUUUCGGGUAGGGUGGGGAUAAAUUAAAUUAAAAGGGCAAAAUGAAUAAGAUUGUGACACGUGUUCGGCCGUUAGUGAGAAGGGUAUAUAUGUACCUUUUCAUUAACGGUAAGAUUAUAUUUGUACCUAAAGUAUGACGGAGAGUAUAUCUGUACCAUUUAUCAAAGUUUAGGGCAUAUAUGUACCUUUCCAUUAACGGCAAGAGUAUAUUUGUAUAUAAAGUAUGACAGAGGGUAUAUUUGUAUCAUUUAUCAAAGUUCAGGGGUAUAUAUAUACUUUUUUAUUAAGAUAAGAGUAUAUUUGUACCUAAAGUUUGAAAGAGGAUAUAUAUAUGUAAUUUAUCAAAGUUUAGGGGUAUAUUCGUACAUUUCUCCUAUUGAAAAUUAUGAAUCCCCUUGACUUAUUUUAGGUCGGGAGAUAGAAAAUUUUGAAUCUUUCUAUUAAAUUUUUUGACUUUGCUGCUACAUGUAUUAAGAAAAAUUGGUGCACUAAAAUUUUCGUUAUGUGUGGGGUUUGGAGAUGAAUCAAAUUACAAGAAUAGUUAUACGCAAUCUUACUUCGUAUUUAUGCAAUAAGCGGAUUAAAUAGUUGAAGUACACGCAAUUAACAUGGAUGGACACCACUAAUCCACUAUUAUUAAAAGGAACAAAAAGAUUGUGUGAAUCCUCAACCAAGAACACAAAACACUCAAAUGGAGAAAAUUGGUCUCUCCUAAAAAGGAAAUGAAAGUGAUCUUCCAAUCUUUAAAAUAGAAAAAUAAUAUAUAUCAAACUUUUAAACAAAAAACUAUACUGGCUCGUUUGGUUGAGAUUUGAGAAAGAAGCUACCCAAGAUUAAUUAUCUAGAACAGUUAUUCCAAGAUUAUUAUCCCAUCUUCAACGGUGAUAAAAAUAACAUUGUAAUUUCAUAAUAAUCAUUGUAAUUUCAUAAUAAUCAAUUUCAAAUAAUAAGUCAUCCCGUAAUUUUAUCCCAAAUAAAUAUGAAAUAAACUCAUUCCAAAGUUAAUCUCGAGAUUAGUUAUCACUUAUUCCUGAUACCAUCUCAAAGAAUAUCCAAAUGAGAAAGCAAAAUUAGGGAGGGGGGGAGGGGUUCAACUACCUUUGUGAUUAGUCAAUAUCAAAAUUCUACUGUUUUUUUCUCCACUUCACACUUUUUAUUGGGACCUUUUGGCGACUUUUCCCAAUCUGAAAGGUCUGAUUCUCAAAAUAGCAGAGAGGAAAAAGGUCAAUACCUCAAUUUGGAAAGUGAUCUCAUAGGAUUUCUUUUUGACCACAUAUAAUCCAUAUGGAAUUUGAAUCACCAAAUAUACAUAAUUAUUAAAACAAGACUAUUGUUAAAUGGGAAAAGAAUAGUAUAUAAGAUAAAUAAAAAUGAUAAAGGAGUCCUCUUUUUUAAAUGGUCUUCCUAUCCAAUCAUGAAAAGGAAACUCAAUAAGAUCACAAGAGAUUUCAUAUUUGAAUUAAAUGAUUUCUUUUUAUCUAUGACAAUCUUAUUGUAUAAAAUUAUCCAAUAUCUACCUUGGUGAAAAGCAAUAAUAUAUAAUGAAACUAUUUAAUGUGCACAUAAAUUGAUCGAGAAAAAGAAUGUAAAUUAUAUGUCAAAAUGUUAGUAGCUAAAUGGACACCUUUAGAUAACUAUUUUUAUAGAGCUGUUAAUAUAAGUCGGCUUAAUUUAAUAUUGCCUAAUUCAAGUGGGAUUUCAAAUUCAUAGGUUCAGGCAGCACUGACGGACCAACUUAGGAAAACUCUAAAAUUAUAAAAAGAAAAGAAGGCCAACUUUAAUAAAUAACAGUUACAAGAAAAGAGACCUUCAAUGAUCACUUUUUAACGACAAGACAGGAAUCUAGUCGUUAUUAAUUAAUUUAUAGCGACCAAUCAAACAUGAAACUAUUAUAUCGUAAACAAAAUGACACUACACUAAGAAAAGACAUGUAAUGAUAUUUUUUAAUGAUAAUACAUGAAUGUAAUUUGUUAUAAACAUAUUUAUAGCGAUCAACCAAACACAAAAUUGUUAUAAUGGUAAUGUAUAUAAGUUAAAUUCAUCGUAUCAUCGUCAAUUUGGCGCACAAUUCAAGGAUAUGCGGUGAUGAGGGGGUGUUGCCACGUGGCAUACUUUGUAUGGUGCCAAUUCAGAUAAUCCUAGGUGGAAUUAACUACCUUGGUGUAUAUCCUAUAUUACCUUAUCUAGGUGAUAGCCAAGUUCUUUAAUUUGUGCUGUAUUUUGAUGUUGGGUCAUCAAACACUAUAACUAACUUUAUAUGACUUGGAAUCUUAUGGCUAUGUAGAGGAAUUUGGACAGCUAUAUAGGUUUGGAUUACAAAAUAUUUUGUUAUUUAGGAUAGUGUUUAUCAAAAACAAUCUCUUUAUUUCAUAAAAAUAAAGAUAAAAUUGGUGUACAUCUCAUUCUGUUCGCUUAUGAAACCACACUGAAUAUUUUGUUGUCGUUGGUACGACUAUUGUGUUGUAUAUUACUUUUUAAAUGAGAUAAUUAAUAAAAUAAGUAACUUAAUUUUACAUCAUGAUAGAGCAAUAUAUUUGAUAUCAUAGUAAUGGAUUUUAAUUUUAGAUAAUGGUAAAAAGCUUCUACCAGCGAGUAUUGUGGUGGGAUAAAUGAGAAUUUUUCUACUUUCAGUGUAAAGUCUAAGGUUUGAACAUUAGAUAUAUAGAUAGAAUAAUAUUUUCGUAUUUGAUGGAUGUUAGUAACGCGAUGUAGAUAAAUCGAGAGUUCAAUUCGACUGAAUAUCAAUUGAUUUUUCUUCUACAAAAAAGGGGUUAAUUAUGUUUCGAACUUCGAAUCCGAGUAUAUAUAAAGCUAAGAAAAAAGGACUAUCAUUCAAGCAAUGAAAGAGUCAGGAUUUUUACUAACAGGAUUCAAAAGUAAACCUAUGAAUUAGUCGAAGGAGGUUUAAUGUCAACUAUAUAUACAACAACAACAACAAACCCAGUGUAUUCCCACAUAGUGAGGUCUGGGGAGGGUAAGACGUACGCAGUCCAUACCUCUACCUCUAAAGAAGUAGAAAGACUGUUUCCGAUAGACCCCGGCUCGAGACACCAAUGUCAACUAUAUAUAAAAAAAAUAAAUUUAAAUCAUAUAUAAAUAAUAUAAUUUUUCAUCGAAAGAGGUUCGAAUGAAACCCUGAGCUAAAUGUGGCCCUGCCCCUACAUUCAAGUACUAUAGUACUACAAGUAAUUCUCAAUUUUAAUUUUUUUUUUUUGAACAUAAAAGCAAAUCAACUAUAGAUAUAUUAAUUAUAUUACUUUACUUCUAAUAUAUAGAAGCGUGAAGGGACACAGGAGGCGAUCGUCAUGCUUGCUUCCUCCGUGAUUUUAUCAUAUCACCCCUAAUUAAUUAUUAUAUGUUUACGUUAUUAAAAAAUUAAUAAUAUUUAAUAAAAAUAUAAAAUAGACAUUUAUGACAUGUCUGCUUCAGCUGCUUCAACCGUAAUUUUACUAUUUCAUCCCUAAUUAAUUACUAUAGGUCAUUUAGUAUUGAUUGAUGAGAUGCGGAGGGGGGAGGGGUGAAUGAGAAAUUGGAGGUUUGGAGGCAAACCCUAGAAUCUAAGGGGUUCAGGUUGAGUAGGUCCAAGACGGAGUAUUUGGAAUGCAAGUUCGAUGACUCGAGUCAGGAGUACGGUGUGGUGGUGAGGUUAGACUCUCAGGAUGUUUGUAAGAAGGAUAGUUUUAGUAUCUUUGGUCUAUGAUUCAGGGGAAUGACGAGAUUGAGGAGGAUGUCUCUAAGCAUAUUGGAGCAGGUUGGAUGAAGUGGAGGCUCGUCUCGGGAGUGUUAUGUGUAGGAAGGUGCCUCUUAAGCUUAAAGGCAAAUUCUACAGAGUGACUGUCCGUUCGACCAUGCUGUAUAGAGCUGAAUAUUGGCCAGUCAAGAACUCCCAUAGCCAAAGAUUGAAGGUGGUGGAAAUAAGAAUGUUGUGUUGAAUGUGUAGUCUCACUAUAGGGGAUAGAGUCAGGAAUGAGAUUAUCCAAAAGAAGGUGAAAGUGGCUUCGGUGGAGGACAAGAUGAGAGAAAGCGGGUUGAGAUGGUUUGGGCAUAUGAUGAGGAGGAGCACGGAUGCCCCUGUUCGGAGGUGUGAGAGACUAGCUUUGGAUGGAUUUAAGAGGGGUAGAGGUAGGCCAAAGAAAUACUGGAGAGAGGUGAUUAGGCAUGACAUGGAGCAACUGCAGCUUAUUGAGGACAUGACCCUAGAUAGGAAGGU
rnacentral:lncRNA from 1 species